rnacentral:rRNA from 1 species
UACUACCUUCGAGCCUGGGAUAACUAUUCGAAAGGAUAGCUAAUACCGGAUGAGGUAAUGCAUCGCAGGGUGCAUUAUGAAAGAUUGCCUCUUCUUGAAAGCAAUUGUUUGGAGAUGAGUUUGCGGACCAUUAGUUUGUUGGUGGGGUAAAGGCCUACCAAGACUGCGAUGGUUAGCUGGUCUGAGAGGAUGAUCAGUCACACUGGAACUGGAACACGGUCCAG